CUCUCGCUAUUAACCCAACGCACUGAACGUUUCGAAAACUGAAAUACAUAUGAGAUGGCAAAAUGAUUUCUUCCUUCUAGGUUUUCAGUUUUGAUCCACUUUCUGCAACCCAAAUCUCCUAGCUUUAAGGUUUGAUUGAUCACUUCUCUUCGAAAGGCACUUCCUUUUCGGUGAACUCAUUCAUCGUAUGAGAUUAUCUGAAGUAUGCGAUUCAUUCAAAAAUCUCUGCAACUGUUUAUGAGAUAUGAUAGAAUACACAAACUAUUAAACAAGGAGUUUCACAGAUUGUAUAUGAAGAUCAUGAAUCUGAUACUGGAUUUCAACAUGUGCACAGUAUUGAUCACAAGGAUUUGCAGGGGAUAAUUAAUGAAGUUUCUUUGGUAUUUAAUUCUUGAGAAAUCAUUUAAUUUUUUAUCAAGUUUCUUUAAACAUUGGGUAUAGUUCAAACGAUAAAGUCGUAAAGAUCUGGUGUAGAAUUUUUUGGUGCUCUAAAGAUGCAGGUCCAAUAUUUACACCUCUUGGUGCACCUUCGGAGCCAAAACAUUCUCAAAAUGGGUAUCUCAAACAAAACUUAAGGUGACAUUUUUGCUCAAAAUAAUUGGUAAUUCCCUUUGCUUCGUGGUGCUAAAGUAACUGGUGGAGCUCCAAACGAGCUCUCUAAUUUGUUUUCCUUAAGCAACAAUGCGUAUUUUUGUUUGUUGGUUGUGAAAGAUUGAUAUGCAAGUUAUUAUGACUAAACCCAUUAAAUUGAGCCAACAUAAUUGUAUAAAUGCCUGAAAGAUGUCUCACAAUCUUUUAGCUUAAAUACAUUUUGUCAGUGACCUUGGUUUUGUUUCGCAGCAUUGGUUAAUUGUUUUCGUGGUGCUAAAGUAACCGGUGGAGCUCCAAACGAGCUCUCUAAUUUGUUUUCCUUAAGCAACAAUGCGUAUUUUUGUUUGUUGGUUGUGAAAGAUUGAUAUGCAAGUUAUUAUGACUUAACCCAUUAUAUUGAGCCCAACAUAAUUGUAUAAAUGCCUGAAAGAUGUCUCACAAUCUUUUAGCUUAAAUACAUUUUGUCAGUGACCUUGGUCUUGUUUCGCAACAUGCAUAUGUUUUCUUCCUAGCUUAUUUAGUUCAAUCUCAGUAAUUCUGCUUAGUUUAAUCUGUCACACAGAGACAUCAAGGGUGAUCCUUCAUCUACCCCCGUCCCCCCACACAAAAAAAAUGUUGCUUUACUGGAUCUUUAGAAACUUAAAACAUAAUUGUUUUGAUUGAAUUUGGAAGAGCUGAAAUUGUAUAACUAUCAACAGGCAUACUACAAAACUGACGACAAUGUGAUCUUCCGAAGGUAAUUUAGUUUGGAUUUUUUCUUUACGGUUUACAUUUUCGUUUUCCUUUUUUAGGUUGUGUGUGCAACUGUUCUUUCAGUGUUAAAUUGGUAAGAGAACAAUGUUCUUUGUGGAUUUAAAUAAAAAUAUAUAUUCUUAUUUUUAUACAUACAUUUGGUGGGGAGAUGGAUCAAGGAUUGAGUUGCUGCAAGUUCCAGCUGUAAUCCUAAACCAUACAGUAAUGCAAACUUGAGUGUCUUUGCAUCAAGGACGUGUACCAAGAGUGGAUCAAGGUUUCAACUUAACCGGUUAAGUUGAUUCAGCCAAUUUUUAUUUUUAAUCAGUGAUUCAUUUAAUUGUUAAAAUGAGGUUUAUUUACGGAUUGCGAUGACGUGUACCAAAAGUGGGUAGGGGGUUGGGGCAAAAUGGUAUGAAAGAGACAUGCAAAUUGGGUUUAGAAUACUAUUGCUUUUAACAAUCCUGGGUAUUCGCAAGUUGGAGAAGUUCAAGGUUUAAUUUUUGUGGAUGGAGAAAUGCAAGAAUGUGACAAAGGAAAACCAUGCCAGAUUCAAGUCAGGCUCAUCCAUAAGUGGCAUGUAGUUGAGGUCUCCUCCAUUUGCCUUGGUGGUAACUCUAUUCCAUUGUCAGGUCUCCUCCAAUCUAGAAACUGAAUAGCUAUCAAGAAUAUCUUUCAGGUGUCGAUUUUCGUUGAUUAAAAAAUAACUUGACGAAAACAUCAGAAAUACUACAACAAUUUAGUUCUGCAAAUUGUCUAUUGCUUCACUUAAUUGGAUCAAUGCCUCAUCUUUUGUAUUUGAAUUUCUUUUCUACCCUACUUUUUUCCAGGUGCAUGUAGCCGCCGAGUACAACAAGGUUUGCAGUAAACUUAAUGUGAUUAGCAUAAAGCAAAGUGAAAGGUAUGAGCAACUGAGAAACGUUCCUCGAAAAAUAUUUAAACAUAAAAAGGAUAAUGUUAACAACGUGGUACAAUUUAACAUAUAAAGGCAUCCAUAAAUCCUCACAUUAUGCACACACAGUUGGCACUAGGAGUUUAUAAUCUGUAAAACUGCAUAUGAGUUAUAGUCCUUUUUUUAUGGCCAAAAAUGUGAAGAAUGGAUCUAAAGCUUCGCAUAGGCAGCAAGGACCGGAUCUAUAAGCUUAGAGAUGACCAAAAACAAAGACUUGCGAAUAUCUAAUGGGAUAAGCAACCACCAAGUCUUUGUAAUAAGUUCUCUUAUAAUGAAAACAUUAAUGGGACGAGAAACUAAUUGGGAAAAUAUAACUCCUGAAACCGUCCAUGUUUAUUUAAUGUCCAUGUCCGUGCACGAAAACAUUUGCAAACCCAUAUAUGACUCAUAUGAGCAUGUUUUUCACAUUUCCAGGACCGUUAACUCUUUUCGAACACCCAUGGAAGUUCAUAAAAUUUGUUAUACUUUGGCAUAUUUGUUGGUCACAACAUUACCAGCCUUUUAUUUUUGUUUUGAGUAUUAUCAGGUCUACAAAAUUUGUCGGACUUCUAUGGGAUUGAUGGGUUUAUGAUGUAUAUGUUGGUUGUGCAAUUAUAUUAUUGUUACAGGUCCAACGAAAUGUGAUCAGACGAGAUAAGGGUUGAAUUCGAACUUCGAAGUCUUCUGUGACUUGAGUAGUUCAUUGAAAUAUUAAUCUUCAAAUGAAAAACAUGGUAUUGAAUGAAUGGAAAGAAACUGUCAUGUUGUCAUAAUCGAAGGGGUUUUUCUUUGCCAUACAAUGGCCCAAAAUGUAGUAGACAGCAAGGCGAACAACCUCAAUUUAAAUCAACCUUAAUGAAAAAUUCUAACAGCAAGAAUCGCACUAAUUAAAGAUGACAUAAGAAGUGGCUGCCUAUGGAGUGAAUCUGCAUCAGAUUAGGUACUGUUACUUUUUGGUAGAAGGUCUCAAUCUUUGUGACGUCACUAUUGUACAUAAUUGUAAAAUAGAUGAAUAAAGGAAUAACAUUUGUGCUAGACAUAAGAUUAUGAAUAUAAGUGAUUGUGGGGCUAGCUGUAACAGUAUAUCCAGUUAUGGACUACCCUUGGCCUUGCAUAUAUUCCAGUAAGAAAAGCGGUGACUAAAUAUAAUCCU